rnacentral:rRNA from 1 species
AGAUCAAGUCAGCGGUAAAAUUGAGAGGCUCAACCUCUUCGAGCCGUUGAAACUGGUUUUCUUGAGUGAGCGAGAAGUAUGCGGAAUGCGUGGUGUAGCGGUGAAAUGCAUAGAUAUCACGCAGAACUCCGAUUGCGAAGGCAGCAUACCGGCGCUCAACUGACGCUGAGGCACGAAAGUGCGGGGAUCAAACAGGAUUAGAUACCCUGGUAGUCCGCACAGUAAACGAUGAAUGCUAGCUGUCCGGGGGGAUUGACCCCUGGGUGGCACAGCGAAAGCGUUAAGCAUUCCACCUGGGGAGUACGCCGGCAACGGUGAAACUCAAAGGAAUUGACGGGGGCCCGCACAAGCGGAGGAACAUGUGGUUUAAUUCGAUGAUACGCGAGGAACCUUACCCGGGCUCAAACGACACAGGAAUACUUUUGAAAGGAGGUAGCUCUACGGAGUCUGUGUCGAGGUGCUGCAUGGUUGUCGUCAGCUCGUGCCGUGAGGUGUCGGCUUAAGUGCCAUAACGAGCGCAACCCCCAUCGCCAGUUACCAGCAAGUCAAGUUGGGGACUCUGGCGAGACUGCCGGCGCAAGCUGUGAGGAAGGCGGGGAUGACGUCAAAUCAGCACGGCCCUUACGUCCGGGGCGACACACGUGUUACAAUGGCAGGUACAGAGAGAAGCAAUGCGGCGACGCAAAGCGGAACUUGAAAGCCUGUCUCAGUUCGGAUUGGAGUCUGCAACUCGACUCCAUGAAGCUGGAUUCGCUAGUAAUCGCGCAUCAGCCAUGGCGCGGUGAAUACGUUCCCGGGCCUUGUACACACCGCCCGUCAAGCCAUGGAAGCCGGGAGUGCCUGAAGUGUGCAACCGCAAGGAGCGCCCUAAGGUAAAACUGGUGACUGGGGCUAAGUCGUAACAAGGUAACCGUAA